rnacentral:RNase_P_RNA from 1 species
GCCCGCCAUCGGGCGAUCGCGUUCAUUGCUUGCAAUGGAUGAGGAAAGUCCGAACUCCAUAGGGCAGCGUGCCGGUCAAGAUCAUCCAAGACCGGGCGGCAGGAAAUAAUCACUUCGUGAAAAAACCUGCCGACAGCAUAGUGUCACAGAAAAGUAAACCACCUUCUUCUUCGGAAGAUGGAACGGGUGAAACGGCGGUGUAAGAGACCACCGUGUUCCGGGUAACCGGAGCAGUCACGAUAAACCUCGCGCGGAGCAAGACCAUGUAUGAAGUCCAUUUGCCUUCGGGCAAAUAGCCGCUGCCCGCGGAGCGUGGCUUCGGGUAGGUCGCAUUAGAUCAAUGAUCGCCUCUCUUUAUAUAUAAUGUAAAGACCAGACAGAAUUCGGCUUACAGAUGGCGGGUGAUA